rnacentral:rRNA from 1 species
AUGGGCGCUCAUCAACGCCUUCGCCAUCGCCUGCGGCCAAGCAUCCAGCUACAUAUCUGUCCACUUCCACCUCCCGUGCAUCCAGUGUGCUGCGCCGCAUCCCAGGCGGCCGCGGCGGCGCUGGCGCUGCUGCUCCCAUGCCGCCGUCGCUGGGCUCGCCGUGCCCUCUCCUACCUCGCGCACGCGGUCACCAUCCUCGUCCAUUGCAUGUAUGCCAGGGCCGUCUGGGUCCUCCUCGCCGCCGACCUAGGAUACACCGUCGGCAGGGUCUUUUACAACGUGGUCAUCUGCGUCAUGGUGGUGUGCGACCUGGGCUGCCUGGCCCUCCUCCUUGGAGGUGAUGGGUGGGGCAAGCAGUACGCAGCCUCUUAG